rnacentral:misc_RNA from 1 species
CACUCGUUCAUUUUUCAUUGGCUUGUCAUUCUAUAUAGAUUGGCUACAUGGAAUCACAGGUUUAAAAUAUAAUUUCUCAAGAAGAGAAAUCUAUACUCUCAAAAGUACAAAAUUUGCUACAUGAGACAUCUUUUUAAGGAUAUAUGGAAAGCAUGUUCCAUCUAUCAAUUUUCACAAGUGCCAUUCUAUAUAUAUUGCCAUCUAGCAAUCUGUACACUCAAAAUGAUAUACUAGUUCAUUUUUCACAUGUGCCAUCUAGCAAUUUUCAUCAUCAGUCAGCCGUGUGUGAGAGACAAUAAUGAGUACUCAACCAUAUGUGCAACUGCAGUUCAGAAGCAACACUAUAAAAAGCACCAUCCAAGUACAAGUACUCAAAUUAUGUCAAUCUACUUUCUUUUAACCCAUUUUGUAUUUUUCAAAUACAUGAUAUUUAUAGUGCUUACAAAUUCAUUCCUAAUAACCAAAAAGCUCCUUUAGUCACUUUCUUUGCCAAUGCUAAAAUUCCAAAAAUCAAUUAUGUUGGAAUUUUUCAAGUAAUGGCCUUUAGUAGGCUGCACAAUAUUUCCAAGAAGAGUGAAACAGAAAAUAAUACUGUUCAUAUCCUGCUACUCCCUCGACGACCACGACCAGACAGCCUUGGUAGUUUUCCUCUUGGCAGUGAAACAGGCUUCAAUUUUGAUUCUUUUCUCACAAAAACUCUAUGCACCCGUUUCUUUUUCUCCUCCUCCGCCUUCAAUUUAGAGAGACUGGGCCGGUAUACAAUCACUGUCCGACCGAUUUGACCAACCACCACUGACCCAGUUGCUUCCUCCAACUGCUGAACCACAUCCUCCAGCUCCCCUGGACAUGUCCUAUGUAUUUUGAUCUUCAAUAGCUCGUUGGCUUCAAGUGUCUCAAUAAAAGAAGUGGCAACAUUUUCAGUAACACCAGACUUGCCCACUAACUGGCACUUGAGCUUCUUACCCAAUCCAUGCGCAUAAGAAGCUAACUCUUUCUUUUCCUUUACUGUCAAAUUCGGUACUUUUGAACUAUUUCUCUUCGACCCUUCUUUACAGGAACCAUCACCAGCGUCAACAGAAAUAGCACUGACCUCCAAUUCUAAGUUUUCACUUCCACUAUCAAUAUCUUCCUCCUCAUCAUCAUAUUCAAUUUCCCCAUCAUUAUCUUGUUCUUGAUCUAUUUCUUCCUCUAAAGAAAGGGAAGGAUUAAAGGCAUUAGGUGGGGCAGAGAGAGAAGUGGAUAGAGAGUGCGAAAAGAGGAAAGUAUCAGAAGUAAUGGGCGGUGAAUGCAGAAAAGAGAAGAGGGUGGUGGACGAACUAAUUUGAAGUUGAGUAUUUUGGCACUUGAAGAGAGUAGCUUUUCUGGUGAUGCUAGCAGCGGUGGAGGUGGAAAGAGGUCUGAAGAAGAAGGAAAGUAAUGGUGGUUGUGGUGGGGGUGGGCGAAAGACGCAGUGGAGGACAUGGGUUGUAGAUGAGGUGGAGGAUGAUGCUACCGCCAUUAUCGUCGCUGCCCAG